rnacentral:snRNA from 1 species
AACCACUUCGGUGGUCAUCCGUAAAAAUUGGAACGAUACAGAGAAGAUUAGCAUGGCCCCUGCACAGAAGGAACACGCAUAAAUCGAGAAGUAUCGCACUUUGUG